UAUCAGAAUCAAUAGCAUGUGUAGGUGUCACAAGUUUACUCAAAACAGAAGGUGAAUCAAGUGCAGAGCUAGAUGGCAGUUCCUUACCUCCCCUCGUAGUUGAGGGAAAAAUCUUGGUUCUUUGAUCUUUCAAGUUCUUCAUAGUGAUAAGUAGAUAUAAAUCCCAAGUGACUCAAAGAAUAGAGCUAUGCUCCCAGGCAACUGCGCCAGAAAAUAGUCUUGAUAACCCACAAGUAUAGGGGAUCGCAACAAUUUUCGAGGGUAGAGUAUUCAACCCAAAUUUAUUGAUUCGACACAAGGGGAGCCAAAGAAUAUUCUCAAGUAUUAGCAGCUGAGUUGUCAAUUCAACCACAC
rnacentral:rRNA from 1 species